ensembl:lncRNA
CUUUGUGUUUGUCUUCGUGAGAAAGAGGUGUGUUCGUGUGUGUGUGUAUGUUAAUAUAUAUUUGUUAUCAAAUAAUUGACAAUUAAAAAAAGCAUUCUAUAUAAAAAUUUCAAAUAUAUUUUAUUCACUUAGUUUUUCUUAAACAAAGAAGUAUUUGAGUAAAAUAACUACUUACAUAUUAACUGAUCAAGGAAACAUAACUGUCAAUACACAAAUUAUGCAUUUUUUAUCAAAGAGAUGGGGAACUCAGUUGCUAUGUUUUGUACAUACAAUAUGAACGGAGCAAAUUUCUGUUAAAAACUAGAAAUGUUUAAGUGAUGAAGUGGAAAAAAGUGAGUAUCAACAACUUUCCUUUAACAACUUUCGUUUUGCCAGAGUGUCUGUCUCUUCUGCUCUGCUCACACACACUACUGUAUCUACAAUCCCCUUCUGUCUUUUCUUUAAAGGUUCACCCUUUAGAACCUUAGUACCCAGGCUUCAGGGUCCGCUCUGGCAGCGCACUACCCACCCUGUCCCGGGGCUCCACAGGACUGUCCUUCAGGCUCAAAGCACUGGGCCCGGGUAAUAAAGGAAACGGUUAUUAUUUCUAAUUAUCCAAGCGUUUAUCUUGUUAAGCUUCUUGUUUUUACAUGGACAAACAAGCACUGUGAAGUCGUCUGAGUAUGUGUUAUGUCUGCUGCCUUGCUGGAAGGUCUAUUUGCACUGGCCAUCUCAUAGCGCACAAAUCUAUAUCACAUAGUUUAUGUUUCCAUCUGCCCUUUUUACAUUAAACCCCUCCCUUCCCGCUUACCUCCCUUGCAUGAGUCACUCAAGAAUAAUUACAUAAUCACAAAGCCACACCCCCCCCGCCUCCCGCCUCCCCGUCCCACGUCGAAACCCCCAGUCUUCACACCUUCGCCCACACCUUUAGUUUACGUUACACACGCACACACGCACACACACACACACUCACAUACACACACACACACACACACACACACACACACACACACACACACACACACACACACACACACACACACACACACACACACACACACACACACAGGUACACUAUAUAAAGACAAUACUAUUAUUUUUAUGCAGUUAGCAAUCAAACAUGGCUGCUGUGUUGUUUAAGUACCGGAAUAACUCAUAACCUAGAAAACGGUUGUAAAAAAGAAAUGAAAAUCGUAACUUUUAAUGAAGUGUUGCACUUUCUUUGCUUGCCGGCAGACAGGUGUUUGUUUGUUGGAGGCGUUGAUCUCCUUUCAUCAUGUGAGGGUCUGUUGGCGUGGGGGGGAGAGCCUCCCCACCCCUAGGGGUCAGCUGUCCUGAUCUAUGUGGAGCAUGGACGCCCGUGAUGACUUGAAUCACACUCGUCCCUGAGGAGUCAUUAGUGGAACGGGGAAUCUGGGGCACGGGGAAACACAGCGACCUGGGGGAACACUCGGUGGUAGUUCUGGAAGGAGAGCAUGCGGUGCGGUGUAUCCUGAUCCCCCUCCUUCCACCAAAUCAUUCUACCAUUCUUCUUUCAAAGUGUGGUUGGUUGAGUGGGUGGUUGUGGGGGCAGUACGAUGGGGGGGGUUGGGGGGCAGUACGAUGGGGGGGUUGGGG